CCACGCCGUCUCCGCGCCUCGGCGUGGCCGCUCCUUGAGCGGCUCCCGGAGUAGCACAGCCAGAUCGCGGUUAGCCUUGGGAGGGGGCCCCGGGUUCCCCCGUGCGCAACAGCCGGAGGAUCCCGGGGCUCUCGAUGUCCCCAAGGCCGGCGGGGACUGCGGGAGCACUCACCAAUUUGGCUGGUAAACUACCCAAAAACAACACAGAAGAGGAAAUACAUGCUCCCAGACAGGGUGGACAAGGAGCCCUAAGAAAACUUUAGGACAGAGACACACAGAGGAAGACCAUGUGAAAAUACAGGGAAAAGAUAAUCAUCUGCAAGCUGAGGAGAGAGGCCUGAGAAGAAACCAACCCUGCCGAUACUUCAGUCUGAGACUUCCAACCUCCAGAAUUGCAAGAAAAUAAAUUUCCACUGAAACCACCCAGUCUGUGGUACUUUGUUAUGACAGCCCUAGCAACUAAUACAAUAACUAAAAGAUUGUUUUGGAUAAAAAUUAUGGGAAACAUGGAGGUUUUUAUCCCUGGAAUUAUUGAUUAAAUGAAAAGCUAAACAUUUAGUGACUUCAGGUAAGAUGAAUUCACUAAGAGGAGCUGAGUAUAAAAUGCCAAAUAACCAGCUAAAAAGUGAAAACAAAAUUAGGGGAAUUCAUGAGUGUGUUGUUGUUGUUUUAAUGACCACAUUCAAUCAACAAAAUCAAUUGUUGGUUUCUUUUUCAUCAAGGUGCCUAUAUGUUCCUCCUGGUUGACUUGGGACCAGCUCAAAGGAAAACCGCUGUUAAUCUUAUCUGGUUCAUUUUUCCUUCUAAAUAUAGAAAAACAGAUUGAGUCAAUUACACUCUUACUAAACCUCUGUGUUCCCCAUUUUCCCACUAGGCCUUUCUGCUAAAACCAGCAAGAAGAGAGUAGCAACUUGAAGAUCACAAUUCUUUGACCUUAUCCAUUCUACUUUAGGUGAAAGUUCCCAUGGUCACACCAUAGUUUGUAGAUAAAUGUUGUAUACAAGUCAUCUGCCUCAGAAUCACUUAAAAGAAGUUGUUUAAAGUGCAGAUUCCUCAGUGCCUCCCUCCCCAGUGAUUCUGAUUCAGUAGGUCUAAGGUGGAACCUAAUAAUACGCAUUUUUACAAAGCCCCUGUGUGAUUCUUUUCGAAGUGAAUUGUUUACCACACUUUGAGGAACACUGCUUUAGACAUGAGUGUGUCAGGGUGGAGAAUAGUUGAAAGACUUCUCAUUUAAAGUCCUCUGUUUUCCUUAUAGAGUAGAUGGGUUUGUCUAUUCUCCUGCCCCGCAUCCCACUGGCACACAUUGAUAUAUUGUUCAGUAUCUAAACCAAAGUAAAACUUUUUAUAACUUUUCCCCACCCAGUUGAUCAAUCUUAUUUUGAGUCACGAGGGUAUCUCAUACGUGUUUUUAUUAUGGUACUCAUCACAUACUGUAACAUCUUGGUGUUCCUUAGGGUUUUCUUUUUAUCUUCCUCUUUCCUUACUCUUUACACAUUUCCUGGGCAAUAUUAUCCAUGCCAUGGCUUCAGCUAUCACCCAUAAAGCUGAUGACUUUCAAAUCUGUACCUCAAGCCCACAUCUCUCUCCUAGUCUCCAGAUCCAUAAUUCCAGUGGUCUAUUGCACGUCUCUACUUGAUUGUUUAAAGUACCCCAUGUCUCAAUGUCAAAAACUGAAUUUAUUUUCUUCCCGUGUCCCCAGUCCCUUCCCCAAACCUAUUCAUCCUCUUCUAUUCUAAGUGGCACCACCGUGUACUCUGUUGAAGCCACAAACUGAGCAGGAAUUCUAUAGCCCUUCCCUUCUUCUUCCUUCAUUCAAUACUCUCAGAUCUUCUUCUGAGAUAUUUCUCAAAUUUCUAUUCUCCACUCCCCUACUGUUAUUGCAUUGGACAAAAACUAGUUUAUUAUAGUAUAUGGUAGUUUAUGGUACAGCCAAGGCUAAAUGAAGAUAUUACUUGGGAAAAGGCAAAUAGUCAUACAUAUUAAUUCUUCAAAAAUCUUCUAUGUUUAUUUCAUUGUUAAAGAUGUUAAAGGGAUAAUUAGAGAGAGGGAAGUAGAGAGUAGUUAUGUUACCAGAUACUCAUCUUUCACAGCACAGAGUAAAUAUAUAAUGUCUAAUAAUAUAUAAUGCCAAAAAUUAAAAAAUCAAGAAAUGGCAGAGCAAUAUGUUAAAAACAUCACCAAGAUACAACCAGCCAAAUCAAGAAUGUAGAAAUUUCUUGGCACAAGUGACCUGGAUUAUUAUUACAAAAAAAAUGACAUAGCAAAAUUGGAUAAGGGGACUGUUACUGAUUACUGGAAAUUUAAGAAACAUGCCAACAUAAUGCAAUAUGCCUAUUUUGUGUGGAUCUUAAGCAAACAAAAAGAUAUUUAGGGGAAAUUUGAACACAGAUUGAGUACCAUAUGCUAGUAAGUAAUUUUGAUAAAGGUAUUGGGAUUAUGUUAUUGAAACUUCCCUCAUCUGCUAGAGAUACAUACCAAAUAUUUAUGGGUGAAAAGAUCUGAUGUCAAAGAUUUGCUUUAAAAUACUCCAGGUCAAAUCAUAUACA